AGCUUUGCGCAGUGGCAGUAUCGUAGCCAAUGAGGUUUAUCCGAGGCGCAAUUAUUGCUAAUUGUACACCUGAAACUAACG
rnacentral:snRNA from 1 species